rnacentral:rRNA from 1 species
ACGAACGCUGGCGGCGUGCUUAACACAUGCAAGUCGAGCGGUAAGGCCCUUUCGGGGGUACACGAGCGGCGAACGGGUGAGUAACACGUGGGUGACCUGCCCUCAGCUCUGGGAUAAGCCUGGGAAACCGGGUCUAAUACCGGAUAUGACUCCAUGACGCAUGUUGUGGGGUGGAAAGCCUUGUGCGGCUGAGGAUGGGCCCGCGGCCUAUCAGCUUGUUGGUGGGUGAUGGCCUACCAAGGCGACGACGGGUAGCCGGCCUGAGAGGGCGACCGGGCCACACUGGGGACCUGAGACACGGCCCAGACUCCUACCGGGAGGCAGCAGUGGGGAAUCUUGCGGCAAUGGGCGAAAGCCUGACGCAGCGACGCCGCGUGAGGGAUGACGGCC